CUAUGGUUGAGAUACCCUCAGUUUUUUAUAGCGUUUGUCAAAAUGAAAAGGCUAUGUUUGAUUGAAGCGGAAAAAACUAAUUCAUUUGCCCUCUUAUAACUUAGUGAAAAAAAGGAGGCGGCUACCAAAAUUUCAUUCUCCCCCUUAGAAUUUCGUUUACUCCCUCCAUUGUUUCACUCAUUAAGCUUUUUAAUUUUUGUCCAUCAAAACUCUUAAACCCAGAUUCAAAACUCUUAACCCGAUUCAAAAGAAGAUGAGUUAUCUUCCUCUUCUCCACCAAACAAAACAGAGUCAUCUUCCUCUUCUCCAUCGCAAAUCGUGAACCCCCAGAUCUGUUUUAGAUCUCGUCGCCGCUCAAUCUCUACACCAGAGUAAUCGAAUAAGAUGUGACCAGAGAUGUUUUGUUGAUAUUUUCUCAGAAGUUUGUGAGGGAUAUCAUUCGUCUUCGUCGGCGUCACCUCCAUCUCGUCUCCUAGAUCUAUCGCUGUUUCCACAUCUUAGUGUUUGAGUCUGUUGAGGUUUUGUUUUAGGGUUCACCAAUUUGUUCUUUUCAUUCAUAACUCUUAAUUUUCUGGAUUAUGAUUUCGUGUUUGGUUUUUCAUUUCAGAACUGUUUCGUUUUGCUUCAGCUUCUUUUGAUUGGUUUUUCUUCUUUGUCAGCAGAUAGAAACUCUCUGACGACGAGUUUACACAAAUUGAGACUCGCCGCGGCAGUUCCUGUAAGGGAUAAGGGAUAAUAAGGAAGCAGUCGAAAACAACAUGAAGAACAGGAAUUCGAAUGCUAAUCUGGAUGUUGUCCUUGAGCUAAUCAACCAUUGCAGAGAGCAGGAAGUUGAGAGGCUUCGUGAGGAAAGAAUUAACGUUGCAAAGAAGAUAAAAGGGAAGCUGGAGCCAUCUGAACGUGAGAGACUCGUAGAAGAAGGAAAUAUGAGGAAUAUAUUUUGUUUAUCACUCUUGUCUUCUUUGCUAAGAGAUAACAGAUCGUUUUUUCCUUCAGGUAAAAAUCUUUGUCUUGAUAUCAGAUUCCGACAAAUUAAGAUCUGUACCGAGAAAUAUUAAAAUCAGAAACUUGAAAGAUAAGAAAAUUUGGAAAAUACACGUUUAAAAUGCA